GUGCUUGCUUUGGGAGCACAUAUGCUAAAAUUGGAACGAUAGAGAGGUUAGCAUGGCCCCUGUGCAAGGAUGAUACGCAAGUUUGUGAAGCGUUCUAUAUUUUU
rnacentral:snRNA from 1 species